rnacentral:rRNA from 1 species
GUAGAGUGGCGAACGGGUUAGUAACGCGUGGGAACAUACACAGCACAGGGGGAUAACCAUUGGAAACGAUGGCUAAUACCGCAUACGCCCUAUUGGGGAAAGAUUUAUCGGUGUUGGAUUGGCCCGCGCUAGAUUAGCUAGUUGGUGGGGUAAUGGCUCACCAAGGCGACGAUUUAUAGCUGGUUUGAGAGGAUGAUCAGCAACACUGGAACUGAGACACGGUCCAGACUCCUACGGGAGGCAGCAGUCGGGAAUAUUGUGCAAUGGGGGCAACCCUGACACAGCCAUGCCGCGUGAGUGAAGAAGGCCUUAGGGUUGUAAAGCUCUUUCAGAUGUGAGGAUGAUGACGAUAGCAUCAGAAGAAGCUCCGGCUAACUUCGUGCCAGCAGCCGCGGUAAUACGAAGGGAGCUAGCGUUGUUCGGAAUUACUGGGCGUAAAGGGCGUGUAGGCGGAUUAUCAAGUUAGGGGUGAAAUCCCGGGGCUCAACCUCGGCACUGCCUUUAAGACUGAUAAUCUAGAGUAUGUGAGGGGAUAAUGGAAUAC